rnacentral:lncRNA from 1 species
CGCUCGCGCGCUGGGGAAGGCCCAAGGCGACUCCCGGACUCUCCGCAAGAACCAGCUCUAGCGCGGAGCUGGAGGCCCUGCGUGCCUCCUUGUCCAUCGAGCUGGCCGGUGGCCUGAGCUAGGGGCUUGCUCUCGACAGCUCGGCGGACACCAUGUUGGGGGCUCCUGGACAGGAGGAGGGAGACAGGUACAUUCAUAAAGAUCAAGAAUACGCAGCUCUUUGCAGGACUGGCUCCUGUCCUCCAGGUGACUGCUCUGAUGACUCCUCUGACGAGAGGCCUGCCCUGGUGGGACCCCUGCCCACACAAUGUCCACCCUGCACAUUGGAGCUUGUUUCCCACGCGGCCCUCUCCUAGAGGUGCUGCAGCUGGCUACCAGAAUGUCUGCUCCACGAGGACAUCAACUCCUCACCGAGGAGGAUGCAGUGGGAAUCUAAGAAAUGGAUUUGCAUAAAGCUGAGGUGGCAACUGCUCUGGCUUUUCUAUGGAACUCAACUUUCAUUAUCUCCUGGUUCGGUCCUAUUGCCAUGGCCUCGGGUACUCGUUAGAAGUCAGCAAAGCUUACAUUAUAGAUGAAUGCUGGACACGAGGAUGUAGAAUAAACUACUCACCAACAUAAGAACACGGCGCUUUCCUUUCAGCCAGCUCCCAUCCUUCAGCCUUUACUUUCAGCACUGGUUAGUAGCUUAAUUAAAUGCAGCAACCACAUUUUGGGGCGCUUAGCAUGUGCCAGAUGCUAGGGAUAUAGUAAGUAAGAUGGCCUCCUGACCCAAGGAGGUCAAGCCAGCAGAUAAGAAGAGCUGUGACAAAUUGCCACUUCUGCUUCCCAGCUGCGGCACAAACCUUUCCACUCUUCCUUGUCCAGGUGUUGGCUCCUCUCACACAGUGGGCUGGGUGCCUCUUGAGGUCUCCAGCAGGCCUCUUGUCUGAACAUUUGUGAAAAACCAGGCAUCUGCUUUACUCUUCGUGUACGCACCCUCCUAAGGGUAGAACCAAUAACUCCGAAGGGCUAAGAGCCACAUAAUUUAUUUAUUUA